UACGACCACAUCACAUUGAAACACCUGUUCCCGUACGAUCACCGAAAUUAAGCAACGUCAUGCUUGGUCAGUAUCUAGAUGGGUGAAUGCUUGUGAAUACCAAGUGCUGUAAG